rnacentral:rRNA from 1 species
CGUGAGUAAUGCCUAGGAAUCUGCCUGGUAGUGGGGGAUAACGUUUNGAAAGGGUCGCUAAUACCGCAUACGUCCUACGGGAGAAAGNGGGGGAUCUUCGGACCUCGCGCUAUCAGAUGAGCCUAGGUCGGAUUAGCUAGUUGGUGAGGUAAAGGCUCACCAAGGCGACGAUCCGUAGCUGGUCUGAGAGGAUGAUCAGUCACACUGGAACUGAGACACGGUCCAGACUCCUACGGGAGGCAGCAGUGGGGAAUAUUGGACAAUGGGCGAAAGCCUGAUCCAGCCAUGCCGCGUGUGUGAAGAAGGUCUUCGGAUUGUAAAGCACUUUAAGUUGGGAGGAAGGGCAGUAAGUUAAUACCUUGCUGUUUUGACGUUACCGACAGAAUAAGCACCGGCUAACUUC